GAGGGUUUGGGGAGGGUAUUGCUGUUAGUUAUCCAUCCUUCCCCGUUACCCAAACUCUAGGUUGCGAGGGAUCCCGGCCGCUGGCCGCCGCCGCCACCGCGGGCGACCUCGCGAGGCUUCUCCCAUCACUGCGAAGGGCCAGUCCGUGAGGCCGUUGUUGAGGAGACCUGCGAGGCUGGCAUCGUCGUCCGAUCCUCAAUCGCCACCGGGCUCGAUCUAUCCAGAUCCAAAAUAGGAGUUGUGCUUCUUGUUCUAGUAGCAGUUUUGUAUGCAGUGGCUAAAUGGAAGCUCAUGGGAUGGGCUCUCAUGGGAUUGUUGGAAGCUCGGAUGGCACAGAAGAGAGGGAAAACAGCUCAAUUAACUUAUGCUCUGAAGGUGUCAACCUCAAAACCUUCAAAGCGACAGGGAACACGAUUAAUGGGCGGUUGCAACUGCGACGUGCCGAAAUCUAGGUCGAUCAUAACGUGCUCACGCACGGUGCUACGUACGUCAACCGUCCUACUGAAUGGGAGUUAAAAGAGGAUAUCCACAUAUAUCAGGUUUUGAUUUUUUAUGAAUAAAUUAUGAUGUGAUGAAACAUAUAUCAAAUGGUACCGAAAGAUUUUGAUUUUUCAUGAAUAAAUUAUGAUGUGAUAAAAGUGGGAUACCAAGAUACUGACUAACUAAUCCUCAUAUUGCUAGGCUAUUGACUGAUGUUAUUGUAGUGAAAUUUUCAUUGGAAUUAUGAAAAUAGAUUCUAAUGGUAACUUGAUCUAUCAUUUCAAAGCAUUACAUAAAUAUGUAUAACUUUAUUGAAUGAUUAAUUGUGAUUCUUUUAAAUCAUUUAGAUUAUAUACAAAGAUAAUAUGACUUGUAUUGCUUAGAUAUAUAAGGUUAUACAAAAGUAGUAUAAAAUUAGAUGAUAAGGUAAUCUUGUGAGAAGUUAUUACCAACUACUACAUUCUAGAAAUGUAAUUUUGAAGUCGGUAGACAAUGACUUUAUUUUUGCAAGGCUCAGCGGAGACUCUCCUUAAGUUAUAACCUAUUUAAACAUCAUAUUGUACUCUUUUUCCCUAUAUGAGUUUUUCCUCGCAACGAUUUCUCACAGAGCUUUUAAUAAGGCAAUAUCAAUAUAAGAAAAUAUGUCAUAUUUUCUAUUUUCGCCACAGGAUUUUUAAAGGUGGUAUUCAGGAUAUAUUGCAUAUCAUAUCUUCUGUUUUCCCUACAAGGGUUUUUAAGAAGGUAUCAAAGGACAUUUUAUUCCUCCUUAUAUUUUCCCAUUGGGCUUGGGGGAGGUUAUUCGUAUAUGAUACACAGAUCAUAUUAUUGGUCUCCAAACUUGCUUAUGAAUCUCUCCUUUCGAGGUUUUGUUAUGCGAGUUUACGAUAAGACAAUAAUCUAUACAUGUUAUAUCAUUUUCUCCUAUUUUUCCAAUGGGUUUUAAAGGAGUAUUAAUAGCAUAUUAAUAUACAGUUUGGUUUCUCCUCAAA